GACGAACGCUGGCGGCGUGCCUAACACAUGCAAGUCGAACGGAGAUACGAUUUCGGUUGUAUCUUAGUGGCGAACGGGUGAGUAACGCGUGAGCAACCUGACUUUUAGAGGGGGAUAACACCUGGAAACAAGUGCUAAUACCGCAUAAGACCACGACCCGACAUCGGGAUGAGGUCAAAGGAGCAAUCCGCUAAGAGAGGGGCUCGCGUCCCAUUAGAUAGAUGGCGGGGUAACGGCCCACCAUGUCAGCGAUGGGUAGCCGAGCUGAGAGGCUGAUCGGCCACACUGGAACUGAGACACGGUCCAGACUCCUACGGGAGGCAGCAGUGGGGAAUAUUGGGCAAUGGGCGCAAGCCUGACCGAGCGACGCCGCGUGAGGGACGAAGGCCUUCGGGUUGUAAACCUCUGUCUGGGGGGACGAGUAAGGACGGUACCCCCGGAGGAAGCCCCGGCUAACUACGUG
rnacentral:rRNA from 1 species